rnacentral:tRNA from 1 species
GGUAGCUCAGUCGGUUAGAGCAAUCUCACAAUUAGGUAUGGGUCGUGGGUUCAAGUCCCACCAUCAGUAUCA